ensembl:lncRNA
AUGCAGUGGACGUGCAAGUUCUGCUUGUUUUCGUGUGAAAAGAGGGCUCCGCUGUUGAAACACUACAGAUUAAAACAUGGAAGCUACUCUAGAAGUACUCCGAUUCCAUGUCUCUACACAGAUUGUCUUUGUUCAUUUAAAUCAUUUAAUGCACUAAAGGUGCACUUAACAAAAAAUCAUUCACAUCAAGCACACGGUAGCCAAUCCAGUCCAUGUGAUAACAUCCCUUUGAUAUUUAACUGCCCACUUUGCAGUUUUGAGGAGCCCUGCACAAAGUCAAUUUUUUUUUCUCAUUUACGGCAGCAUCUAAAAAAUCAUGAAACAGUGCAGUGUCCAUACAACAAUUGCAAUUUUGAGAGCAAUGUCUACUCUACAUUUAAUUCACAUAUAUGUAGAGAUCAUGGAGCACAUGAUCAAAGACAAUUGAAAUCUGAGGUUCUCUUGCACAUUGCUUCUCACAGUGUAGAUAAUGUGCAACAAGAAGAGCCUUUGAGCCCUGAUCCUGUAGAUGAACAUUUGGAGGAAAAUGAUAUAGAGAAUGAAAACCUUGAUCAAUUGCAUCAUCAAUUGGAGCACAAUUUAGCCUCACUAUUUCUUAAAAUGCAGGCAAUUUUGCAUGUUUCUGAUUCGGCUGCACAGGAAAUAAUUCAACAAAUAAAUCAAAUUUUACUUUUUUCAGAACCCCUUGUCUAUCAUGCAAUUCAGCAAAUUCUCCUUGAACAUGGACUGAGUGGCUGUGAUUCAUUAGUGAGAAAAAUUGUGAAUGCAGUAAAAGAAAGUAACCCAAUCUUGACAAUGACCAAAGAUGGCGAGCCUCUUUCCACAAUAAGCAGAAGAGCAUCAUAUUUUCAGAGGGAAUUUCCGAUUGUCAUGCCAAUUGAAUACAAGCUUGAGGCACACUCAGUCUCUUAUGUGCCAAUUCUGCAAAUGUUGCAGAAAAUUCUAAACAGGCCAGACAUUCUAAAUAGGGUCCUUUGCAAUGAUCGAUCAGUUAAUGAAUUCAAGACUUACCGAGAUGGCACCCACUAUCAAGAAAAUGACUUUUUCAACACUGAGACCUUCAGGAUUGUUCUGGGUCUUUAUGUUGAUGAAUUUGAGCUGGCCAAUCCCCUUGGCACUUCUAGAAAAAAACACAAACUGUUCGCUCUCUAUUGGGUUCUAGCUAAUCUUCCCUCAAAAGAUCGUUCAUUACUUCAGUCAAUUCAGCUAGCAAUUUUAUGCAGAGCUACUGCAGUAAAACAACAUGGUUACACAGACAUCUUGCGACCACUUGUUCAGGACCUUGAAACUCUUGAAAAGCAUGGUGUAUACAUUGAACAGUUAGGAGAAUGUGUGAAAGGAAGUGUACUUUUUGUGUCAUCUGAUAAUCUAGGUGCUCAUUCUUUCGCAGGACUACAGGAGAGUUUCACUGUUGAGCACCCUUGUCGGUUCUGCUUGGCAACGAGGAGUGAAAUCCAGGAGAAGGAGGUCCGGUCGGGAGCAUUUGAACUGAGAACCAAGCAGGAGCAUGACAGGCAUGUGGCUGAAGUGUUACACGAUGCGAGUUUGGUAAAGCAAUAUGGUGUAAAAGGUGGCUGUGUUUUAAGUGAAAGGUUGGAACAUUUUCACACAGUUGGUGGUUUUCCACCUGACCUAAUGCAUGACCUUAUGGAGGGUGUCAUCCCUAUUGAAAUGUCCUUGUGCAUUAAUGAUUUGGUCUCAAGGAAAUUAAUCUCUCUUGAAUCCCUGAAUCAAGCUAUCAAGCAGUUUCCUUACAAAUUCUCAGACAAAGUUGAUCAGCCUCAAAUCAUCCCAGGCACAUUUGCCUCAAAAGGUACCAUUGGGGGUAAUGCACAUGAGAAUUGGGGGCGCUUAUUAGACUUCUGCCCCUCAUGGUUGGCUUUGAUAUCCCUGAGAAUGAUAAAACAUGGGAAAUUGUGUUGCUUCUGA